UACGAAGGGGGCUAGCGUUGCUCGGAAUCACUGGGCGUAAAGCGCACGUAGGCGGACUCUUAAGUCGGUGGUGAAAUCCUGGAGCUCAACUCCAGAACUGCCUUCGAUACUGGGAGUCUCGAGUCCGGGAGAGGUGAGUGGAACUGCGAGUGUAGAGGUGAAAUUCGUAGAUAUUCGCAAGAACACCAGUGGCGAAGGCGGCUCACUGGCCCGGUACUGACGCUGAGACACGAAAGCGUGGGUAGCAAACAGG
rnacentral:rRNA from 1 species